rnacentral:rRNA from 1 species
CGCUGGCGGCGUGCUUAAUACAUGCAAGUCGAACGAGAAAGUCAUCUUCGGGUGGCGAGUAAAGUGGCAAACGGGUGAGUAACACGUAAGCAACCUACCCUUAAGAUUGGGACAACCCUGCUAACGCGGGGCUAAUACUAAAUGUGAACAUUUUUCCGCAUGGAUUUUUGUUUAAAUGAAUUUCGCUUAAGGAUGGGCUUGCGGACCAUUAGCUUGUUGGUGGGGUAACGGCCUACCAAGGCUGCGAUGGUUAGCCGACCUGAGAGGGUGAUCGGCCACAUUGGGACUGAGAUACGGCCCAGACUCCUACGGGAGGCGGCAGUAGGGAAUUUUGCGCAAUGGACGAAAGUCUGACGCAGCAACGCCGCGUGAGCGAUGAAUGUCUUCGGAUUGUAAAGCUCUGUUGAGUGGGAAGAAAAGCUUCGGUAUGACGGUACCACUCGAGGAAGCCCCGGCUAAUUACGUGCCAGCAGCCGCGGUAAUACGUAAGGGGCAAGCGUUGUUCGGAAUCACUGGGCGUAAGGGAGCGUAGGCGGAUAGGUAAGUUAGAAGUUAAAUACAACGGCUCAACCGUUGAUCUGCUUUUAAUACUGUCUAUCUUGAGUACAGGAGAGGAAGACGGAAUUCCAGGUGUAGCGGUGGAAUGCGUAGAUAUCUGGAAGAACACCAGUUGCGAAGGCGGUCUUCUGGCCUAGUACUGACGCUAAUGCUCGAAAGCUAGGGGAGCAAACAGGAUUAGAUACCCUGGUAGUCCUAGCCGUAAACGAUGGACACUAGUUGUCGGAGGAGUCAAUCCUUUCGGUGACGAAGCUAACGCAUUAAGUGUCCCGCCUGGGGAGUACGCUCGCAAGGGUGAAACUCAAAGGAAUUGACGGGGGCCCGCACAAGCGGUGGAGCAUGUGCUUUAAUUCGAUGCAACGCGAAGAACCUUACCUGGGUUUGACAUGGGGGUGAAACUCUUUAGAGAUAGAGAGCUUUCCUUCGGGAACACCCUACACAGGUGCUGCAUGGUUGUCGUCAGCUCGUGUCGUGAGAUGUUGGGUUAAGUCCCGCAACGAGCGCAACCCUCGCCCUUAGUUGCCAUCAGGUAAAGCUGGGAACUCUAGGGGGACUGCUUGGUAUAACCAGGAGGAAGGUGGGGAUGACGUCAAAUCAUCAUGGCCCUUACGCCCAGGGCUAGACACGUGCUACAAUGGCCAGUACAGCGGGAUGCGACACUGCGAAGUGAAGCUAAUCCCUUAAAACUGGCCUCAGUUCGGAUUGGAGUCUGCAACUCGACUUCAUGAAGGUGGAAUCGCUAGUAAUCGCGGAUCAGCAUGCCGCGGUGAAUACGUUCCCGGGCCUUGUACACACCGCCCGUCAAGCCAUGAAAGACGGUAGUACCCAACGUCGUUCCUCUAACCGCAAGGAAGAGUGCGCCUAAGGUAAGACCGUUAAUUGGGGCUAAGUCGUAACAAGGUA